rnacentral:rRNA from 1 species
GUGUCAGCCGCCGCGGUAAUACGUAGGUGGCGAGCGUUGUCCGGAAUUAUUGGGCGUAAAGGGCGCGUAGGCGGUUACUUAAGUCAGGUGUGAAAGCCCCCGGCUCAACUGGGGAGCGUCAUUUGAUACUGGGUAACUAGAGUGCAGGAGAGGAAAGUGGAAUUCCAUGUGUAGCGGUGAAAUGCGUAGAUAUAUGGAGGAACACCAGUGGCGAAGGCGGCUUUCUGGACUGCAACUGACGCUGAGGCGCGAAAGCUGGGGGAGCGAACGGGAUUAGAUACCCCUGUAGUCC